rnacentral:rRNA from 1 species
AUUGAACGCUGGCGGCAUGCUUUACACAUGCAAGUCGAACGGCAGCGCGGGCUUCGGCCUGGCGGCGAGUGGCGAACGGGUGAGUAAUACAUCGGAACGUGCCCAGUAGCGGGGGAUAGCUCGGCGAAAGCCGGAUUAAUACCGCAUACGACCUGAGGGUGAAAGCGGGGGAUCUUCGGACCUCGCGCCAUUGGACCGGCCGAUGGCAGAUUAGCUAGUUGGUGGGGUAAAGGCCUACCAAGGCGACGAUCUGUAGCUGGUCUGAGAGGACGACCAGCCACACUGGGACUGAGACACGGCCCAGACUCCUACGGGAGGCAGCAGUGGGGAAUUUUGGACAAUGGGCGAAAGCCUGAUCCAGCAAUGCCGCGUGUGUGAUGAAGGCCUUCGGGUUGUAAAGCACUUUUGGCGGGAACGAAAAGGACUGUGCCAAUACCACGGUUCGAUGACGGUACCCGCAGAAUAAGCACCGGCUAACUACGUG